UAUCUGUGAAGAUGCAAACUACCUAUACCUAGAAAAAAAGACCCUAUGAAGCUUCACUAUUCCUUGGGAUUGGCUUUUGGCCUUUCCUGCUCAUCUUAGGUGGAAGGCAAAGAAGGCCUUUUUUCGGGGCCUCGAGCUAUCAGUGAGAUACCACUCUGGAAGGCUAGAAUUCUAACCUUGUGUCAGGACCUACGGGCCAAGGGACAGUCUCAGGUAGACAAUUUCUAUGGGGCGUAAGCCUCCCAAAAGGUAACUGAGGCAUACAAAGGUUUCCUCAGGCCAGAUAGAGAUUGUCCCUCGAGUGAAAAGGUAGAAGAGAGCUUGACUGCAAGACCCACCCAUCGAGUAGGGACGAAAGUAGGCCUUAGUGACCCGGCGGUGCCAAGUGGAAGGGCCAUCGCUCAACAGAGAAAAGUUACUCUAGGGAUAACAGGCUGAUCUUUCCCAAGAGCUCACAUCGACGGGAAGGUUUGGCACCUCGAUGUCGGCUCUUCGCCACCUGGGGCUGUAGUAUGUUCCAAGGGUUGGGUUGUUCGCCCACUAAAGCGCUACGUGAGUUAGGUUCAGAAUGUCAUGAGAUAGUUCGGUCCAUAUCUAGUAUGGGCGUUAGAGCAUUGAGAGGAUCUUUCUAUAAUAUGAGAGGACUGGGAAAGACGCAUAUCUAGUGUACCAGUUAUUGUACCUAUGGUAAACACUGGGCAGCCAAGUGCGGAGUGGAUAACUGCUGAAAGUAUCAAAGUAGUAAGCCCACCCCAAGAUGAGCUCUCUCCUAUUCUGACUUCCCCAGAGCUUUCGGUAGCACAGCCGAGAUAGCGAUGGGUUCUCUGACCCUACAGGGAAGGAGCGACAGAAGUUUAUUGAGAAUUCAAGAGAAGUUCACAACGAGACAAGCCAUUUAUCAUUACGAUAGAUGUCAAGUAGAAGUGAAGUGAUGUAUGUAGCUGAGGCAUCCUAAUAGACCGG
rnacentral:ncRNA from 1 species